rnacentral:rRNA from 1 species
GACGAACGCUGGCGGCGGGCUUAACACAUGCAAGUCGAACGGAAAGGCCCUGCUUUUGUGUGGUGCUCGAGUGGCGAACGGGUGCGUAACACGUGAGUAACCUGCCCUUGACUUUGGAAUAACUUCAGGAAACUGGGGCUAAUACCGGGUAGGAGUACCUGCUGCAUGGUGGGGGUUGGUAAGUUUCGGCGGGUGUGGAUGGACUCGCGGCUUAUCAGCUUGUUGGUUGGGGUGUGGAUUUCCAAGGCCUUGGCGGGUAGCCGGCCUGAGAGGGUGACCGGCCACAUUGGGACUGAGCUACGGCCCAGACUACUACGGGAGACAGCAGUGGGGAAUAUUGCACGAUGGGCGGAAGCCUGAUGCAGCAACGCCGCGUGCGGGAUGAUGGCCUUCUGGUUUUAAACCGCUUUCGCCUGUGACGAAGCGUGAGUGACGGUAAUGGGUAAAGAAGCACCGGCUAACUACGUG